CAGCAGCCGCGGUAAUACGGAGGGUGCAAGCGUUGUUCGGAAUCACUGGGCUUAAAGCGCGUGUAGGCGGAAUGGAAAGUGUCUUGUGAAAGCCCUCGGCUCAACCGAGGAACUGCUGGGCAAACUAUCAUUCUUGAGGUAGGUAGAGGCAACUGGAACUAUGGGUGGAGCGGUGAAAUGCGUAGAUAUCCAUGGGAACGCCGGUGGCGAAAGCGGGUUGCUGGGCCUAUUCUGACGCUGAGACGCGAAAGCGUGGGGAGCAAACAGGAUUAGAUACCCUGGUAGUCCACGCCGUAAACGAUGCGUACUAGGUACGAGGGACUCUGACGUCAAUCGUGCCGAAGCGAAAGUACUAAGUACGCCGCCUGGGGAGUACGGCCGCAAGGCUAAAACUCAAAAGAAUUGACGGGGGCUCACACAAGCGGUGGAGCAUGUGGAUUAAUUCGAAGCAACGCGCAAAACCUUACCUGGGUUUGACAUGUACGGAUGCCCUUGAUGAAAGUCGAGUAAGCUGCCUUCGGGUGAAACGUACACAGGUGCUGCAUGGCUGUCGUCAGCUCGUGCUGUGAAGUGUCCGGUUAAGUCCCUUAACGAGCGAAACCCUUAUCGUUAGUUGCCAGCGGUUCGGCCGGGAACUCUAGCGAGACUGCCGGCGUUAAGUCGGAGGAAGGUGGGGAUGACGUCAAGUCCUCAUGGCCUUUAUGCCCAAGGCGUCACACGUGCUACAAUGGUCCGUACAAAACGAAGCGAGACGCGAGGUGGAGCAAAUCGCACAAAGCCGGCCCCAGUUCGGAUUGGAGUCUGCAAUUCGACUCCAUGAAGUCGGAAUCGCUAGUAAUCGCGUAUCAGCCACGACGCCGUGAAUGUGUUCCUGAGCCUUGUACACACCGCCCGUCAAGUCAUGGAAGCCGGGAGCACCCGAAGCCCGAUCAGCAACCCGCAAGGGGGGCGUCGUCGACGGUAAGUUCGGUAACUGGGACUAAGUCGUAACAAGGUAUCCGUA
rnacentral:rRNA from 1 species